rnacentral:rRNA from 1 species
AUGGCGACAAAGAAACAUCUCUUUCGUUUUGGGUCUUUCGCGAUAAAGAACGGCUCGGAGAUUCGUUUUUGGGAAGACAUAUGGCUAGGCAAUGCCAGUCUCCGAGAACAAUAUCGAGCCUUAUACAACAUUGCCCGCGAUAAGAAUAAUACUAUUGCGCAGGUGCUCAAUUCAUCCCCACCGAAUAUUUCGUUCAGACCGGAUUUGAUUGGCCCCCGACUUGUGUCAUGUCAUAAUCUUUUAUCCAGAUUUGAUUCGAUUAACCUGGCAGAAGGUCGUGAUGUGUUUCGCUGGAACCUUACUACAUUUGGGUCUUUCACUGUA